GUCAUUAUAAUGUUUCAGUAUGUAGCUUUCACUUGCGGUCUGUUGCGUGGAGCCCUGGCCAACUUGGGUAUUGUGUCCCUUGUCACUGCUGAGAUACAACCCAUGCCUGCUGUCAAGUUCCAUAUAGAGGUCAAGAGGUCCUGACCACGCUAAUGUCACUGUUGUACAGAUACAUUGUCAACUGUGUUCUCUAAACAGUCAUUAUAAUGUUUCAGUAUGUAGCUUUCACUUGCGGUCUGUUGCGUGGAGCCCUGGCCAACUUGGGUAUUGUGUCCCUUGUCACUGCUGAGAUACAACCCAUGCCUGCUGUCAAGUUCCAUAUAGAGGUCAAGAGGUCCUGACCACGCUAAUGUCACUGUACAGAUACAUUGUCAACUGUGUUCUCUAAACAGGCAUUAUAAUGUUUCAGUAUGUAGCUUUCACUUGCGGUCUGUUGCGUGGAGCCCUGGCCAACUUGGGUAUUGUGUCCCUUGUCACUGCUGAGAUACAACCCAUGCCUGCUGUCAAGUUCCUUAUAGAGGUCAAGAGAACCUGACCUCGCUAAUGUCACUGUUGUACAGAUACAUUGUCAACUGUGUUCUCUAAACAGGCAUUAUAAUGUUUCAGUAUGUAGCUUUCACUUGCGGUCUGUUGCGUGGAGCCCUGGCCAACUUGGGUAUUGUGUCCCUUGUCACUGCUGAGAUACAACCCAUGCCUGCUGUCAAGUUCCAUAUAGAGGUCAAGAGGUCCUGACCACGCUAAUGUCACUGUACAGAUACAUUGUCAACUGUGUUCUCUAAACAGGCAUUAUAAUGUUUCAGUAUGUAGCUUUCACUUGCGGUCUGUUGCGUGGAGCCCUGGCCAACUUGGGUAUUGUGUCCCUUGUCACUGCUGAGAUACAACCCAUGCCUGCUGUCAAGUUCCAUAUAGAGGUCAAGAGGUCCUGACCACGCUAAUAUCACUCUACAGAUCCUUUGAUUGUCAAUCUGUAGUUUAAAUAUUGUUCCCUAUAAAAAUGAAAUGUAAUAUCAUUAUUUAGAAUUUAAUUGACAGUAUGUUUUGUAAUUGCAAAAACAUUUUUAUUCUAAAUAUUGUUUUUGUUAAUAUAAUUUGUUACUAGAGUUUAUAUACAAUUAUAUAAUCUAGAUUAUCUUGAAUGUUUUUUACUUUUGUUGUAGAAUAAACCCUUUCAAGGAUGUUAUUUUAUUGUGAUGGAAUAUAUUUUGUAGGUAGAAGCAAAAAUAUACCUAUUAUUUAAAAUUUUCUUUUUGAAAUCUUGAAAACCCUUAAUCAUGUUGGCUUUUUGGCAACUAAAUAUUUGGUAAAACAUAUUUAAUAUAAAAUAAAGAUAAAAGUUUAUUUUAAAAAUUAAUGCACAUAUUUAGUUAUGAAUUAAAAGUUUUCUAGAAAAUUGUUCAUUAAAAAGUACUUCAUUUAGUAAAA